UACGUAGGGUGCAAGCGUUAAUCGGAAUUACUGGGCGUAAAGCGUGCGCAGGCGGUUAUGUAAGACAGGUGUGAAAUCCCCGGGCUUAACCUGGGAAUGGCAUUCGGGACUGCAAGGCUGGAGUGCGGCAGAGGAGACUGGAAUUCCUGGUGUAGCAGUGAAAUGCGUAGAUAUCAGGAGGAACACCGAUGGCGAAGGCAGGUCUCUGGGCUGACACUGACGCUCAUGCACGAAAGCGUGGGGAGCAAACAGG
rnacentral:rRNA from 1 species